CAGAGCAAAAAAACAUCACAGCUGAGUCUGGACAGAACGUCACUCUGACAUGUCGAGCUCCAUCAGGCAAAACCAUCAGAGCUGUGAAGUGGAGCAGAAAUGACCUGGGAGAUAAAUAUGUGCUUUUGUACAGAGAUGAGCAGCUGGAUCCAACCAACCAGCAUCCAUCUUUUAAGAACCGGGUGGAUCUGCAGGACAGACAGAUGAAGGAUGGAGACGUGUCUUUGAUUCUGAAGGAUGUGAUGACUGCUGAUGGUGGAUCAUACAAGUGUGGUGUCCUUGUGGGAGAAUCAGCAUCAUGGGAGAUCAUGGGGACUGUCAACAUGAGUGUGGCUCCUCCAGGUGAGUGAGCAAAGUUCAUUAUGUGUGUAACACCCGUCCCACAUUCUAUUGAGAGGGGCCCUGGGUUCCUGUUGUUACUUUCCUACUGAUACUCCCUUUUUGAUGCUUAUGGUAUAAAAUACGCAAUAAAACUACACUAUAUGGAAAUAAAUCACACACAAGCAGGUCAAUUAUAAAGUUAACUCCACUUUAGUGAAUGAUUAAUUAACAACACAAAAGAAAAAUAAGUAAAAUCAAUAAAGUUUGUUAAACAAUGGUAAGGUAUCUACUUCAACAGAAACAAAAUAAUCAAAUAAUAUUGUGGGCCCACACGCACUCUCACCAACACACACACACCUCGAGUGCUAGACGACUCACACACGCCUGAGUCGUGGCUUGAGUGCGUUGGGACCCCAUAACAAUAUGGUCGCUUCACUUGUUGCCAAGUAGCAAAAUAAAAAGCACGUGCAAACAACAGUACUCACACCUCCAGGCAGUUCAAGGGGAUAGCGGGGGAACUGGGUCAAGGCUACCAGCAGGCCGCGGCAGCAGCACUCACAGUCGUCCUCGCCACGUGCUCCCACGUGAACACAUAACUUCAGCAAGACCAGCAGAAGGGACCUCUCUGACACGCCAGCAAGACGUCCGUCUCCUCCUACUCACAGUAGGGUACAACAGAUUUCCACUCCAGCUAACUAUCCGUCAACCUGAAAAUACGUCUGUCGCCCUUCUAUGAACUCUGCGUUCACUCGACACUGUUCCGCUCUCGUCUCUCUCGCUUCCUGCAGAGUGCACACGGCUCCCCACUUACUCCCAACCCCCUCUACCUGAGACUACUUCAGGGUUCACUGGAGCUGUAGUACAUAUCACUACCAUAUCAAAAAUAAUGACAUAAACCUCAAAACACAAAUAAAAAGGUUGUGCAUUUAACUGACACACAUCACAUACCUUGCAGGCAUUUGUAUACAUUCUUGAACACAUUAAACAUUUGCAAUUAACCAUGAAUACAAAUGAACUAUUUAAAUAAAUGACCUUUUUAUAUAGCCAGGGCUACAUGUGUGAUCAGAGGUGAAGCUGCUUCCUGGUUGUUGGACUCUACCUGAAUGCUGACACGUCUCCUUUUUCUCCUGCAGUUCACACAAAGGAUGGAUCUAAAGGACAGAUGAAUUAUCUAUCAGGUUCUGGUUUGUUUCUUCUUCUUUUCCUUUUUCUUCUUGUCACUGCCGCUCCUGUUUGUCGUUGGAUUUUCAUCUCCAGAAAAUUAAAAAAGAAAAUAUUUCAGGGGUCAUACUAGUCUCCUGAUGGUUUAAAAACACUAUUUAAAAAUGAUGUUGGUUCAAAAAGAUAAAGAAACAGAUACUACAUAAAAUUCUGAUGAUGGAUCAACCAGAAGGAAGGUCGGCAUAAAACACAGGAAUGUUUCAAAAACAAUGAAGGUUUAAACAACUCUUAGGACCUCUAACCCUCGAAAUAUGAAAGGACUUAUUAAAUAUAUUGAAGGUAUUAAUAAAACCAUGACCUCAUGCUUAUGAGUAAACUUUAACUAAACUCCUGUCUUUUUGUGUUUGUUUAUUUUAUUUGACAAUGCUAAGAUCAAUAUAACACGUGCUGCACACGGUAGAUGAUUUGUUGCUUUGGGCACUUCUUAAGCUUCUUAAAAUCUUAAAAUGUCAGACUGUAACUUCACUGCUGAGCCUCGAGUUAAACUCUCUGUGGAGGAAACUUCACAGUGAAACUCUGAGCUGAGGAACAAACUCUCCAUCAUCCUCAUCCUCAGCAAACAGCAGAGUCUCAUGGUGUUGAAAACAGACAUCACCAGAUGAUGAUAAAAAAUAAAUAAAUAAUUUUUUCAUCCUGACAUCUAUCAGCUUCAUGUCUAUGUUCACUGUUGCCAUCCAAUAAAGGCAAAAUGCCAAAGAAGUAAUGUUCAAAAAUAAUGUUUGAUGCUGAUACUUCUUCACGCCACUUUACAUGAAACAGCUCAUCUCAUAAAGUAACCAGCAGAGGGCGAUGGGGAGCCGUCCAUCCAAUGCUUUCUCUUCUCUUCAAAUAGAAAAUAACUUCUCACUACUGUGUAACAACUGUCCAUGACUGAUAGUUAACUGUGAGCUGUUCUAUCCAAAUGUGCUUUCACAGCACUAACGGUGUGUUUACAGGAGGUACUGCAUGGUGGAUCAACAUCUGAUGGUAUUAUUCUGUGUUAAUGACUCCAUCAGUUUUAACAAGAUCACCAACAGCACUGACUGAAAUGAAGCUCCAACCCACAACAGAGCCUCCGCCCUGUUUUACAGCAGUAGAAGCUCACAGUUGUAACCUCUUCGUCCGUACAUACUGAUGAUGAUUUGAACCAAAACUGUAAAAUUUGGAUUCGUCACAUUAUAAGAUCUGUUCCGAUUUUCAGUGUAGUUCUUGUGUAAUUUGAAAUGCUGCCUUUUCAUGCAUAGUUUUUCUUUAGACCUGAUACUUCUUCUGUCCCCGACUUCUCCUGUUUCCACUAUAAAACCAGAGUUUUGAGCUUUUAAGAAUCACAUUGUUGGUGCAAUAACAUUUGUUACAGGCAUGGCCCUUUAAGGGUGAAGCCUGAUGGGAAAUGUAUUUGGGGAUGUGUGUAGCGGGACGGCCCGGUGGGUGUGUGAGUGAAGAGAGUGAGGAGAAGGGAAAAGUAACGGUUAGCGACAGAAGAGACGGGAAAGGAAAUAAGGAAAAAGGAAUAUAAUAACUCCCUCGGCAGCCUGAGUUGGGUCGGCGAUGUUCACUUAUUUCUACUCACUGACACCUUAAUGUUACGUUCAGCUGAGCUUGAACCUGAACGUCUGACAAAUCAGUGGCCUGUGGAGCCACGAGCCUCGGACCAUCAUCAUCAUCAGCAGUGACAUGACUGGAAUGUGGACUUAAAAAGAUCGAAACUACAUUGAUGAGUGGGCGGGCCUCCAUCGGUUUUCCUCUGUUUACACCUGCAGCAUAAAGGAUCCACAGGUCCUGUUUUAUCCCGGUAUAAUUUGGACGUACUGAAUUAACCUACAAUGACUCCAUUAACAUCAUUAUGUCUCUGUGUGGCUCUGCUGUUGGCUGAUUUGGCAUCUUCAGAACAGAAAACCAUCACAGCUGAGUCUGGACAGAAGAAGGUCACACUGACAUGUGGAGCUCUAAACAAAAACAUCAUAGUUGUAGAGUGGAGCAGAGAAGGCCUGGAGCCGGAAUAUGUCCUUGUUUACCGGGGUGGGAAGUUUGUUUCAGAUGAGCAGCAUCCAUCUUUUAAGAACCGGGUGGAUCUGCAGGACAGACAGAUGAAGGGUGGAGACGCGUCUUUAAUUCUGAAGGAUGUGACAAUUAAUGACACUGGAACAUACAAGUGUCAUGUCAAGAGAGAGGGAGACAUAUAUGACAGUAUGAAACUGAACAGCAUCAUUUAUCUGAGAGUUGAUCCUCCAGUUCAGCCAGAACACACAAAGGAUGGAGAGAAGAAGGAUAUCCCAGUUGAACGUAAAACCAGUCUGCCAUUUAUUGGUGGGAUUGUUUCAGAUUUAAUUUUAUGUUCAGUGAAGGUGAAGCUGCUUCCUGGUUGUUGGACUCUACCUGAAUACUGACACAUCUCCUGUUUCUCCUGCAGGUCACACAGAGGAUGGAUCUAAAGGACAGAUGAAUUAUGUGUUUGGUUCUGGUUUGUUUCUUCUUCUUCUUCUUCUUCUUCUUUUCACUGCUGCUCCUCUUUGUCAUUGGAGUUUAAUCUCCAGAAAAUUGAGUCGGGGGUCUCCAGAUAAAACUCACCAGGUUUAAAAACACUAUUUAAAAACUGAUGUUGGUUCAAAAAUAUGAAGAAACAUAUUGUCUAAUUCAUGAUGGUUUCACACUACAUAACAUGUUGAUGAUGGAACAACCAGAACGGAGGUUGGCAGCAAAACCAAUGAAGGUUCAAAAAACUCUUAGGACUCUAACACUCAAAAGAUGAAAGCAGAAAUAUGAAUGGAUUUAUUAAAUAUCUUAAAGGUAUUGCACAAAAAAUCAGUUUAUUCUGAGGGGCUCAGCUGAGACUAACUCAAAAUAUAUUUAUCUAUUUGCUGCUGUCCUCAUGUAGAGACGAUACUUUUUAAACUUUCUGCACUUUAUAUAAGUCUUUGGUGAGCAGGUUUUGCCUUUAUUAUGUUAGGCCAUAAAAUCAUUGUCUCCAUAUGAGGACAUGGUUUAAAAAAACAAACUUGUGCUUACCAGGUAAAUCCAAAUAAUCAAGGAGGUUAAACUGAGUCAGAACAACUGUGUUGAUGAAGAGAUGAACUUCUCCUGCAGAACUACAGACACAAUGCAGGUUUUCAACAGGAUGAAACCAAAAAGUUUUGUGUGAGUUUUAUAAAUUCGGGAUGUUAAAUGAUGCAAAAUAUGUUUGAGUUUAAAUACUGAAUAAACUCAGUAUUUAAAAGCAAAAUUUUAUGUCAAUUAUGUCAAAAGCAAGAUUUUGACAGAUGUAUAUAAACUUGGUUAAAAUGAUUUUAUAUAAAGUAGGAGUGUAGGAAGGCUUUAUAACACAAUUUGUUGAUGGAUUCAUGAGAAGCUGCUGCUGUCUGAGCCACAAUCUGAUUGUUUUAUUGUAAACAAAAACAUGUGAUUUGUAAUAAAGAGAUUUGUUAUCCAGGGGUUCACUUUCUGUGUGAUGUACAGUGCUGUGAAACAGUACAUGUCUCCUAAACUGAAUAACUGGUUGUGCGAGUGUGUUGGCAGCAACAGCAACAAUCACGUCUUUUUGAUAACCUGCACUGAUCAAUGCUAAUCUUCGGAGGCCUGUUUCACUACACUUUCCUGACCAUGAAGACCAUGAAGACCACUGUGCCACGUGUUCUCCAUGUGUGGAUAACGACUCUCAUCAUACUUCACUGGAGUCCCAAAGUCUUGGAAAUGAAUCUGUGACCUUCCCAGUCUGAUAGAUGUCAGUGACUUUGUUUCUCAGCUCUUCUGUAGAUCGUAGCUUGAUGUGUUGCUUUUGGACAUUUUUAUCCUGCUUCACUUUGUCAGACUCAUUCUACUUCAGUGACUCUUGAUUCAGCAGGUCUGUCAGAUUCAUGUCUAUGUUCACUGUUGGCAUCCAAUAAAGACAAAAUGCCAAAAUAUAA